rnacentral:lncRNA from 1 species
UCCCUCUGAACAAUUAGAGUUUGAAAACUUUGAUCUCUUACCAUGUUCUUAUCUCUAGACUCUUUAUUAGGAGAAGCCAUUCCCUAGUGGAAAAAUCAAGGCAGAAACCUAAAGAAGGGGGGAUAAAGAGGCUUAACCUUUAGGAAGAAUCGAUGAUGAUGGAGAGCCGACGAUGAUGAAGAUCAAUGAAAAAGGAGAUGGCCGACAGUGA